AGUCAAAGAUAUAUUGGCAGUGCCUAUAUCUAUAGUUGCUUCAGAAUCAACCUUUAGCAUUGUAGAUACAGUACUUGCUCCUUUUUAAGAUUUCUUUAACUCCUAAAAUAAUUAAAGCCUUAAUAUGCACACAGGAUUUGUUGCCGAAAUCUCAUUACUGCAAAUCCAUUGAAGAACAAAUAUCAGACCUUGAAAGGCUUGAAGAGGGU
rnacentral:misc_RNA from 1 species